rnacentral:rRNA from 1 species
GCCAAUAACCUAGCCCUACCUUCAACUUAUGGACUUUUACCCUUUCCAGUCCCACCACAAAAUAUUUUUACAAUUUAGUAAAGAUGAUAAAAAAAUUAUUAGGAGCUAUAGAUGGUACCGCAAGGGAACAGUGAAAUAGUAAUGAAAUAAAUUUUAAGCACAAAAAAGUAAAGGUUAACCCUUGUACCUUUCGCAUCAUGGUUUAACUAGUUUAACUAAGCAAAAUGAUUUUAAGUUUAACAUCCCGAAACUAGGUGAGCUACUCGAGGGCAGCUUUUUAGAGCAAACCCGUCUCUGUCGCAAAAGAGUGGGAAGACCCCCAAGUAGAGGUGACAUACCUAACGAACUUNNNNNNAGCUGGUUACUCAAGAAAAGAAUUUUAGUUCAACUUAAAGUCUUAUUAAUCCCCAAAAAAUAUACCUCUAGACUUUUAUGCUAAUCAAAUAAGGUACAGCUUAUUUGAAACAGGAGACAACCUCCGCCACUGGGUAAGUACCUCCCUCCCCCGUAAACCCGUAGGCCUAAGAGCAGCCAUCAAUUAUAGCGUCAAAGCUGAUUUACGCUAUCAAACUAAUAACUUGAUUUCACUACGAACCCCACACUAAUAUUGAGUAAUUCUAUGUCCCCAUAGAACUUUUUAUGUUAAAACUAGUAACAAGAAGCCAACCUUCUCUUAAAUGUAUGUAUACAUCAGCCUGAACCCAGCACUGAUUAUUAACAGCCUCACCUCAGAAGCAACUUUUCAAGUAAACCCUUCUAAGACACCUGUUAACCUUACACNAGNAACAUUUCAAGAAAGAUUAAAAGANAAAUGAAGGNAACUCGGCAAACACCAACCNCCGCCUGNNNNACCAAAAACAUCGCCUCUUGAAAAGUAUAAGAGGUCCAGCCUGCCCAGUGACUUGUUUAACGGCCGCGGUAUCCUAACCGCGCGAAGGUAGCGUAAUCACUUGUUUUUUAAAUCAAGACUAGUAUGAAAGGCACCACGAGGGUCAAACUGUCUCCUUUUUCUAAUCAGUGAAACUAAUCUUCCCGUGAAGAAGCGGGAAUUAUCAUAUAAGACGAGAAGACCCUAUGGAGCUUCAAACUGUAAGUCAUUUGUCUACCCCCUUCCCCCAUUUCAGAAACAUAACACCUACGACUCAUUGACCCUACGUUUUGGGUUGGGGUGACCUAGGAGUAAAAAUUACCCUCCUAGCUGACACGGGUUAAACCCUAAGAAAAAAGCCACAACUUUAGCCAUCAAUAAAUUGACAUCUAUUGACCCAGUACGCUGAGCAACGAACCAAGUUACCCUAGGGAUAACAGCGCAAUCUACUUCGAGAGUUCCUAUCGACAAGUGGGUUUACGACCUCGAUGUUGGAUCAGGGUUUCCGAGUGGUGCAGCCGCUACUAAAGGUUCGUUUGUUCAACGAUUAAAACCCUAC